GGUGGCUUGGCUUUUGGGAAGGCCCCACUCGCAUCCACAAACGAAGACGGCUAGAGGCUGUCUAACAGGGAGGGAAAGCGAAGGGGGGUUCUUCCCAUGGUUCUUUUUCCCAUUAUGUUGUUUCCUCCGGUGUGUUCCGAUGGCCUUCUGAUUUGAGUAAGAAGGGAGGGUGACCUUAGGGGGCUGUUGGAGACGCCUCUCAUCUGCGGGAGGCGAUUGCGUGUUUUGGGGGAAACAGUGCGAGAGACGAACUCAAAAGGCCAUUGGAGCGGUCUCCGAUUAGAGAAAAGUGAAUGUGUAGAAAAGAACUGUUGAGAAUUGCGUGCCCGAGGACGCAGAAGUUGCCUGCCACACCUGCGAGAAGAUGUGCAACACCCGUGCAUCACUGCAUCUUUGUGGUAACGUCAGCGACCGUUUCGCCCUACAGGAUGAAUGACCAGCAUUACGACUUCCAGAGAGUGCCCGAGAUACUGUCGACGCCCUAGGCGUCAGCUCUUCCUUUCGUUCUCCAAUACCUGUAUCUCAACACUGUCCCGCUCGUUCUGGAUCGGUCAGCAGACCACCAGCAGCUUACUUGCAGCGCAUGUCUGAACAAUUUGUUCAAAGGUUCCGCUCGCUUUUGCUCAACCAGCGACGAAAACUCGUCAUCGGAAGGGGAGUGGGGUUCGUCAAGCUGUGCUGUAGCAGGCUACUUGUCUUUUGGAACCGAAUAUAUACAUUCGGCGCCUUCGCGACGCGAAGCCCACCGGAAAAGAGUGUUGGAUCAAGGCACGAUACUGGCAAGAUACUGAUAGGGCUUUCGAGCAGUUAAUCGGAAACUGGCACCUCGCCUGGGCCUGGGUUCAUAAUCAUAAAGGGGACGGAAUGUCUCAAGCUAACGUUCAGAAGAACAUCAAACAGAGCGCAAGUACUUUCACAGAAGCUGUGUACUCUGCUGAGUCAGUACGGUGGAGACUUCUGUCUGCACUGGUGGCCUCUCGCUGACAACUGGUACGUUGUGUUUUUUGUCCGACAAUCGCAUCAACGCACCUGGUGUAUUCGGGAUUGAUUGCAGGGUUCGCGCUUUGGUCUUUUUACAAACAAGACCUGUUCAAUGUAAGCCCUUCCCGACUCCGUUUUUCGUCGUGCAUUUUCGAGAAAGGAAUGCAUUCAUUUGAGGUAUGAAGCAUAACAAGGUGAGUGCGAUGACUAGCUUAAAGCAACAGCCCACCUACCUAUCCAUGAAUACAAGAAGAAACAAGCUGAUCAAAGUUUGAACGCCUGAAGAGGCUAAACAAAGCAGUCGACGAAACGAUAUGUGAA
rnacentral:lncRNA from 1 species